rnacentral:lncRNA from 1 species
UAUUAGGGCAAUUUCACUUUAUUUUUCCAUACAGCAAAGUCAACUACUGCAGUAAUAAUAAAAUAAGCAUAAAACAAAUUGCAGCCCAAGACAAAAUACAUAAUUUUAAGCAACUACAAGCAGAAAGUAAGUUGUGAUUACAUAAUAGUAAAACCAAGCACAUCUGUCCUUUCAGCAGAUGAACGUGUAGGGUUGCUGAUAAGUGCAACAUUAUAACCAGCUGGAGUGAAGGCUGG